CACGUAGUUAGCCGGGGCUUUCUGGUUAGGUACCGUCAAGGCACCGCCCUAGUUCGAACGGUACUUGUUCUUCCCUAACAACAGAGUUUUACGAUCCGAAAACCUUCAUCACUCACGCGGCGUUGCUCCGUCAGACUUUCGUCCAUUGCGGAAGAUUCCCUACUGCUGCCUCCCGUAGGAGUCUGGGCCGUGUCUCAGUCCCAGUGUGGCCGAUCACCCUCUCAGGUCGGCUACGCAUCGUCGCCUUGGUAGGCCAUUACCCCACCAACUAGCUAAUGCGCCGCGGGCCCAUCUAUAAGUGACAGCAAAAGCCGCCUUUCAACUUUCUACCAUGUGAUAAAAAGUAUUAUUCGGUAUUAGCUCCGGUUUCCCGGGUUAUCCCAAUCUUAUAGGCAGGUUGCCCACGUGUUACUCACCCGUCCGCCGCUCGUUCCACAAGUUCACACCCCGAAGGGUGAUCCCCUUGCCUUUCCCGCGCUCCGACUUGCAUGUAUUAGGCACGCCGCCAGCGUUCGUCCUCGAGUCCAGGACGUCUAAACUCUUACCG
rnacentral:rRNA from 1 species